CUUGUUUUGUGGGUCCUAGCACCGCCCAGCCCUCUCAUCCUUAUCUCCUCCUCCCGCAUCCCUCUUCCUCCAUUUCUUUUUCCAUCGCCAGCCAUGGGAGCGGCAGCCCCAAUCUUGCUCAUCUCCUUCCUCUCUCUACUCCUCCCUCCCCUACCCUGAGCUACAGAUGGCUAUUGAGAGCGCCCGCACCACACUCUUCAGAGCUGCUGCAAAAGGAGGGAGUUGCGCAGCCAGGAUUCACUCGUCACUAUGGGUCGCCCAGGUAGGGGACGGCGAGCGGGGGGUGCUGCAAGCAGCGGAGGACGGGGCUACAAGCGGGGCGGCCACCACCAACCACCGAUGUGAUUCGUGGCGGAGAUGCUGCUACCCCGGCACGGCGGAGCUACAACCGUAGGCCGGUAGAGUUGCAACCAGCAAAACAAAAUGCUGGAACCGGCGAUAGCCGUGUUGCGACGGCCACGGCGGUGAUCCAUCAUUGUUGGAACCAGCAGCUUUUUUUUGCUGGAAACAGCGAUUUUUUUUGCUACAACCCCAGCGACGAUGAUUCAUAGUUUUGCUGGAACGACAAGUACUUUUGCUGGAACCAUUUUCUUUUUUUGUUGCAAGCAUAAUUUCUUUUUGUUAUGACUGUUUUGAUUUUUGCUGGAACAAACAUCCAUUAUUUUUGUUACCAUCGUCUUGGAUUUUUUUUGCUAGAACCAGUGUAUUUUUGUGCUA